rnacentral:snRNA from 1 species
UUAGUUAUACCAAUGGAUUUU